ACAGCAGUCGCCGCGGUAAAACCAGCAGCCCAAGUGGUGGUCGCGUUUAUUGGGCCUAAAGCGCUCGUAGCCUGACCGGUAAGUUCCCCGUGAAAUCGGGUCGCCCAACGAUUCGGCUUGCGGGGAAUACUGUCGGUCUUGGGGCCGGGAGACGCCGAGGGUACUCCGGGGGUAGCGGUGAAAUGCUGUAAUCCUCGGGGGACUACCAGUGGCGAAGGCGCUCGGCGAUAACGGGCCUGACGGUGAGGGGCGAAAGCUGGGGGCGCGAACGGGAUUAGAUACCCCCGUAGUCCCUGUCUCUUAUU
rnacentral:rRNA from 1 species